ensembl:lncRNA
CGUGAUCCAAAAAGCCCUUUGGAGUCCAAGUGGGCUCACUCUGCUACUGUUGAUUUUAGAUCUCUGGAGCAAGAUCCUGUGUUUAUCUCAAAAAUCCUCUUCAGUAACAUAAACUCUGUGCAAAGAAUGUGUACAGGGCUGAGAUUUCAGGGUUGAGAUUCUGCUUGCAAUAUUGUACGUGUGCCUACCCCACCUUGGUCUUUACAUAUUCAGUGUGUGAAGCUGUUAAAAGAGAUUGCAAGCGUAGGCAGCUGAACGUGCUUUGAAGCCUCCCUGCAAACAAGAAAUCUGAUAACGCAGUCUUCCAGAUUGGGCAUUUAGCUCAACACAGAAUAAUUCUUUACAUGUUUGGAUGAGACUCUUGAAGGUCAGAAACAGCACUGUAUGGGAUAGGAGUGUUAGUGACAGGUUUAGUGUACAUGCCAUCUUUAUAAUUGCCUCCUUGAUGCUCUCCAACUAUUUUUGGCCCCAUUUAAACUUAUCAUUUAAUGCAGUUUUGCAUGCUUUAAUUGAAGUGCAGCCCACACCACAUGCCAUGAAAAACUGCAUUUAAAAUGGAGGGAACUUUUAAAAAUCACUGUGAGAAGAAAAGGAAAUGAAGAAAAUGACUUUAAUCCUUAUUCUCCAUUACUCUAUACUGGUUGCCAAUCACGGUGCUUCAGACAGAGGUUUUUCUUCCUGGCCUUUCUUUCUUAACUGCUGAAGGCAGUAUUAAGACUUACAAUUUCUGGAUGCAAUCACGUACUCUAAAUCACCAUGGAGUAAUGGGUUCAAACUGCAUGAAAAGAGAUUCCAUCUGAAUAUUAGGAAGAACUUCCUGAUAGUACGUUCUGUUUGGCAGUAAAAUAUGCUGCCUGGGAGUGUGGUGAAGUCUCAUACUCUGGAGUUUUUCAAGGACAGGCAUGAUGAUCAUCUAUUAGAAGUGGCAGAAAGGGAUUGGACUCAAUGGCUUAGUGGUCCUUUCCAACUCUGUAAUCCAGUGGUUCGGUGGUUGGACCUCAAAUUCUAAUGCGAUAAUGAGAGUUGGAGUCUGACAAUAUCUUGUGAGUGGCGUAUUCUCCAACCAUGAUAUAAGAGGUGAAUGUGAACAAAUGAGAAUUAUAUAUACUUAUGCUGUGUUUUAAUGGCAAUUAGUAUAAAGCCUUCAUGAGAGGUUGAGGAAGGAGAUCAUUAUCAUCAUUAAGCCUUAUUGAAAAUCAUACAACAGCUCGACCAGUAGCUCACUUAAACACUUGAAGUAUUUUCAAGUACUACUGAUAAGGGCUAUGCACAUUUUUAAAAAAUAUAACUUCCUAUCUCGCUUGGAUAUGUCUUGUCAAGGCUAUUUGGUCUGUUGGGUCAUGAAAACUGCUGAAAUUUCAUAAUCUAAUAGACUAGCUACGAAGCAUACAGGAGGGAGCAGGCUGAUAUUUGUACCAACAUAACAUUUCAAAACAUGACAUAUUUUGUGCUAUGCACUGAUACUGCUGGUAGACCCAUCAGUGCAAAUGUUGUUAUUGGUGGUGUCAGUCAUGUCUGAAAUUCACUCCAAGCACCUGUUUCAAAGGGGUUAAUUGGUAGGUUUAUGUUGGGAAUGAAAAGGAAAAAUAACAUCAAGUUUUCCUUAAAACCAUUAGGAAAUGUCAGUUUAAAAAAGUGAUAAUGAUGGCGAUGGUAAUAUGAUGAUGAUGAUAUCAUGGUGACACACAGCACAAUCCUAUAGGUUCCUUAGUCAGCAAAUCUUUGCAUAUUUAGUAGGGAGUAAAUAUACUGAAUGUAAUUGGAUGUCUGCCUAAUUUUCAGAAAUGAUUACAGACCUCUGCCUUAGGCUGGGCCAAUUUCCACUGCAGAUGUUUCAGAUGUUUAUUAUGGAAGAAAAAUGCAUCUAUAUAGAAAACUCGAAUGAUAUAAAUAAAGGUACAUUAAAACUCUUCACUGUGACUUUUUUUAAAAAA